rnacentral:lncRNA from 1 species
AUGGUGUAUCUUAUAUCUUGUCUUUUUUACGAGAUGAAUCUUUACAUCCUACUCUAAGAACCGGAGAACAACUUAUGUGGAUACUACGUUUGCGAGUAUAUUAUGGCAGAAACAAAUAGAAUUUCUAAAGAAUACCUCAGAGUAUGUAACACAUGUCUCUUUUUAUUUUCUCUCGAAUUACUAUUGAUAAUCUUGAUAUAACUAAUACCUUCUUCUAAUUCAAAUUGAAGACUGAAUGGUUGAAGCAAAAACUCAUGCAACAUGAACAACUCUAAGCAAUACAAGAGACAAUAGCAGUAUUUUUUCGGAAACAAGUCAUAAAUCUAAGCGGCGAGUUCCACUAUAAUCCUAAGGAGAUGAUGAUUCCAAACACAAUGAUCAUUUGUAUGCCCUGUAGUUCUUUAGAUGAUGAAGUACAACUAGUAAUAGGUUAAGAGUAUUAACUUUGGAGUACAACUUAUGCAGUAAUAGAUUUGGAGAACAACUUCUAUAUAUUUAUGUGCAUAGAUAUAUAUAUAUGUAGUUAUAUAAUUCAAUUAUAUAUGCAUAAAAUAAGCUUAAUGUCAUAUGCUGCUACUAUAUAUUUUAUAUUGUAUAUAUAUAUAUUCUUUGUUGCUAAUAUAU